AGCUGAGCAGACACGUACAGCACAAAACGCCGGGGAUGGGGGGUUUUCUUCAAGAUAAGUGGGGACAGCAGCAGACAGGAGCUCAGAUAGAAGAGAAUGAGUAAAGGACACCAGCAAUGGCGAGAUGGAACAAAGAAAUGAAUCUGUCUUUCUCUUUGAAUAUUUCUUUGAAAGAGGAAAGACUGUAUCAAGAGAAAUGUAUACUCUUGUAUUGAGGGUUACUGAGCCUGGCUGAGGAGAAUGUGUCACCAGAGCAGCACAGAGGCAGGGGUGGACCAGCAGUUACAUCGAGGUAGAUCCUUGUGUUAACAGGAAAAACACUUGGAGUCUCCAACACCACUGCUAUCCAGGCAUCCAUUCAUUCAAUUGAAGUGAUCGAAUCCAGGAUAGGACCAGCAGCCCCAGUAGUCCUGGGAGGUCAGUCAGAGAUCGGGACCAGGAAGCUUUUACUGCAGGGCCUCUCUGGAGUGUGGAUGGGAUUCUGGGAUUACUCAGCCCCUAAGAGCAUGGGGACUACAUGGAUGCAGAGAUGAUAACCUUCAUGGUCUUUUAGAGCUGGAGGUAAGUGUUGAAUUGGCCAUCUCUUUCCCUCCUUACAUCUUAUACACAGAGAGAACUGAGGUUCAGAGGAGUGAACUCAGUGCUGGCAUCAGCUAGUUUGAUCAUAACCAGGAGUAGAGCUCAGGUCUCCAGGUCCUGAGCCUGUGUCCUCUACCCCACAUCUACUUCCCUAAACUUCUUCCCAGAGGCCUUCUGAAGGUGGGUGGGGGUGGGGAGUUGACUCCUCAGGCACGUGGAGAUCAUCUCACUAAAAUUGAGAUUACAGCACCGUUUCCCCAGGCAGCAUGGGUGUGCUACCUUUUACUGUAGGGAGGCCUCUACCAGGCAUUCUGCUACAGCCGAGCACCUAGCCUCUAUCUUGUUUCCAUCAACAUAAUCUGUUCGCAACAUGAGAUUGGGCUUUUCCCUGGCCCCUUAUCACUAAUAGGAUCAGCGGAUUCUGCAGGAUGUGGGGAGCUGCAGUGAGCAUGCUCAGUCGGGGAAGCCGCUGUCUCAGAAACCGCAGCUCAGCUGGGUAUACACCAAGCUUUUGUAUUCAGGAGAGGAGAGUUCACCAGGAUUCGUCUCUCUCUCCUGGACCGCUUUAGCUCAGGCUGUAGCUCUAACUCAAAGCCCUGUCAACCAGAGGACGGUUUGGUUAGUGCCUCGUAGAGCCUCCACCGAGUCGUCGCCAUCUUACUUUUGGAAGCUUCUCUCAUCAUAUAUAACAUUUAUCUCACUUUAGGCCGUCAAUGUGUUUGCCAUAGGCACUUCUGGCUUGUACCUGAUAAAGAAGUCUCACACGGGAAAGGAAGAAGCCGAAUGGAGCUCCCACUUCGGGUCUGCUGCUUGUUAGCUGUGCACCCUUGGUUUUUUAGGACUGGGCUUUGAAAUGUCUUCACUUCUGGAAGGCUCUUCCCCACUGACCCCACCCAGGACUUCCGCUCAUAGGAUGGCACUACCUGUAUUAAGGGCACAUCUUUCCUCCUCAGAGAAAUCAGGGAAGUAACUCAAGGCAGGAUCCUGGAGGCGGGGGCUGAAGGAGUGCGGUUUACUUCCUUGCUUCUCGUGAUACACUAGUACUUGUGGGCAGAUUCUCUGCAAGGACUUUUUCUUGCGAUGUCCCCAGUCUUCCCUGUUUUCAGGACAACUGACCCACAAUGGUGCCCUCAGACCAUUCCUCUCUGUUUCCAGUGAGCGCUGUAGAGCACCUGCCUAGGGUGCAUGAGGACUCAGGUUUGAUGCCAAGAAUUCAAACCAAACUAACGCAUGCACCAACAAACAUCAGCAGAAGCAUUAGAAAGAAGGAAGACCACAGGUGGAUUUCUCUUGGGGAAAUCACUUCCACUGGAAGGAGCCGGGAGAUGCUGACCUUGUCCUGAGAUCCCUCACACUGAAGAAAACAUUUCUUCAACCUGGAGCAAUACAGAUCCCUCUUUUAAAAUAAAAAUACUUUCAAGAAUUCUUUCCCUUCAAGGACUUUUUAUGGUUGUGCUAUUAAAAUCUGUACCCGCAGGAGCGCUGGAGUAAAUCCCUUCUGCUGACAGCUUUCCGCAGACUGGAAAAGCAAAACAAAUGGACAAAUUACAGAAUGGCGAACUAAGAAAUCAAUGAAAUUCAAAUUAAAAGCAUUAAUUUAAUAGGGUGUUGUUUUAGCAAGCCUACUUCGUGGCUUCCCUCUCCAGUGUGGAAUGUGGUCUCUUGUGAGCCUGGGGGAUCUUUCAGAGAGCUGUUCCUACUCUCUCUUGUUAUAGCCGCAGUGGAAGCUGUCCAUGGACAGAGGGCACGGGACUGCAGUCUCUUGUUCUGAGAACAACAUAAUUAAGAAACAGAACGGAAUUGAAUGCAAUUGAAUGUGGGCCUUAAAAUCUCAG
rnacentral:sRNA from 1 species